UUCAGCUGUGUGAUGAGGAGGAUGGGCAAGUCGUUGGUUAUCUGUCACUGUGUAAUGAAUUAGCCCUAAAUGUAGUGGCUCAAAACAAUAAUUGACUUAAGAAUCUGCAGCUUGAGUAGGGCUUAAUGGGGAGGCUUGUUACUGCUGAAUCACCAUCAGUCGGGGCUGCUUUAGUGGGACAAGGAUUUCCACUUUAGAGAUGGCUACUCACAUGGGUGGCAAGUCAUUGCUGGCUGAGGGCUGGGAGCCUUCUUUUCUUUCUAUCUGGGCCCCAACACAGGCUGCUUGAGUUGCUUCACAGCGUGGUUGCUUGGCUCCAAGAGUGAGCAUCGCAGAGAACCAGACACAGCUGCAUUGACUUUGAGGACCCCAGCCGCAUGCACUGUCACUUUGGCCACAUUCUAUUUGUGGAGUCAGUCACAGAGGCUGAUCUAUGUACAAGGAGAAGGAAUGUAGACCUCAGUUUAUGAUGGGAAAGGUAUCAAAAUCAGAUUGUCAGAAGAGCAAGUGGGAUGGAAGGCAUUGUUGUGACCAUUUUUGGAAAAUACAACCUGCCACUGAGGCUGUCAGAGAGAGUGCAAAGGAGAGAGGAGGUUAUAAAAUAUCUUCCCAGGCUUUGGCUUCAACAUCUCUGAUCUACCGUGAUUCCUAUGGCUUGCUGAGCUGAUGCAGGGAAAUCUCAUGAGAAAGGCAAAUGAGACCUGAACAUUCCUUUCCCACUGUGGGUGGGUUACAACUUGAAGGAAGCCGUUCACCCAGCCAUCUAAUUUCCCAGAGAUCUUGAUUGCGAAGGACCGUUUGCAGAUCCCAUCGGAGGGGCCCAGGGAUGGAAUAAAGGCAAUUCCAUUGCUCUGUGCAAAUGACAUUUACAACAAUGUCCUUAAAUCAGAGACCUGAAAUGCCUGUCUUAGAUUAUUCAGGCUGAUACUUUUGCAAUCAACCGCAAAAUGAUGGCAAGUCUUCCAGUUGCUCACAGAAAGAAGACUCACGCCUUCCUGCCUCCUGUCUUUGUCUCACACGUGACAUCCAUUUUGUCAGGAAAUAGUGUUGGCUCCACCUUCAGGACGUAUCCAGGCCUCAACACUUCUCACUACCUUCUCUGCUACCCUCCUGGGGUGAGCCAUCCACAUCCUGGAUUACGUCAAUAACUUUCUAACUGCUUCUUGGCCUGCCCCUCCAGCCCAAUCAAUUUUCAACAUGGUAGCCAAAGUGAUUCAUGUAAUAUCUAAGCUAGAUAACGCCAGUCUUUAAAAACCCUGCCAAUACUCCAUUUCAUUCACAGUGAAAGCCAGUGUCUUUAUGAGGAUCUACAUGGUCCAGCCUCAGUGACUGCUCAGACCUCAUCCCCUGAGGCCCUGAUGCUCAGUGGCUCCACCCCACCCCUCCCCCUCCAGCCCCUCCAGCCCCUCCAGCACCCAGACAGCCUCCGACUGUUCUCUGCAGUGCCUGCUUCCUCUCCUUUCCUAUGGUUAUCUACAUACCUACCUUCCUCAGCUCCUUCCAGUCUUUACUCAGUUCUCACAAGCUCAAUAUGACCUACUUAGAGCACCCUGUUUUAAUUGCAACCUGCGCCCACUCUCCCCACCACCCUCCUUCAGCAGACAUUCCCCAUCCAUAGUAAGCUUUCUUGACGUUUUUUUAACCCUAGAAAUCAUCACCUUCCAGCAUACUAUUUUUUCAUUUAUUUACUAUGCUUGUGUUUGUCUUCCCUCAAUCCUUCCCUCCCCUACACACAUUAGAAUGUAAGGUUCGUGUGGGUAGGAUUUUUAUUUGUUUUGUCCACUGUUGGAUCACAGGUCCAUUGAAAAGGGUCUGGUAAGUGGUGGCACUCUCCAAGUUUGUUGAAUGAAUGAAUGAACGCAGCAAUUCCAUGCCUUCUCAAUACAGCAGAUCACUUUGAAAUCCAGGGAGAUUCAGAGUUUUAAUUUGAAAAGGGGUGGUCAGUGGAUUCUUAACCCACUUGUUGGUUUUACUCAGCUCUGGAGUGUGUUUUGUCAUAUUCACGUAGAAUUUAGAUGUAAUUUUAAAAAUGGCAUCACUGGGGGCCCUCCCAGUCGUGCAGUGGUUAAGUUUGUGCACUCUGCUCGGGGACCUGGGUUUCACAGGUUUGGAUCCUGGGCGCAAACCUAGCACCGCUCGUCAAGGGACACUGUGGCGGCAUGCCACAUGAAAUACAGGAAGAUCGGCACAGAUGUUAGCUCAGGGCCAGUCUUCCU
rnacentral:lncRNA from 1 species